rnacentral:lncRNA from 1 species
CUCUGAAACAGAUCCAAGAUGUUGUUUGAGCCAUGCAACUAGAAGAUCUCAUAGAACUAAAGUUAUCUAAUUUACAGAAAAGGUUUUACGUGACGUCUAUUGUACAGAUUCAUAUGAAAACCAUAGUUCAAACUCCAAGGUUUAAGAAGUAAGAAAGAUCAUGCCAUUUGCAACAAACAUGCAUGCAUAUUUGAAAAGCAACUGUAAGUAUGCUAUUGGACAUUGGUAAAGAUUGAAUAUCUGACCAUGGCAUAUCAAGAAACCAUGGAAUGAGUACUGCUUAUCAAGAUCUGGGUGUGAGAAGACUUAAAAAGUCAGAUAGUCAGUGAGAACCAGCUAGAAUCCAUGAUCUGUUGUGGGAAAACUAGAAGACCAAAAAAAGCACGAAAGUCAAGAAAGAAGUCUCUUUUCACAUGAAAGUGGCCUGAAGACAAAUACUGCUAUGAAUGGUUACAUCUAGGACUUCUGAAAUUAGCCCCAGAUUCAACUCAUUUUUUUCUGCAUUUGCUGAGCAAUAUGACAUGUUUACACCGAUUAGCUAAAAAGUUAUGUGAAGAAUGGGCAACAAUAUCUCUAAGGCAAGAUAUGUUCAGAUCCAAUAUAGUUCAUAUAGACCUUGUCAGAGUAAAUGACCAUGUGCCUUUCAGAACACUAAAGAAUAAAAUCCUUCCACAUUAGAAUGACAAA